AGGACGAACGCUGGCGGCGUGCUUAACACAUGCAAGUCGAACGGUGACCCAGGGCUUGCCCUGGUGAUCAGUGGCGAACGGGUGAGUAACACGUGGGCAACCUGCCCCAGACUCUGGGAUAACUUCGGGAAACCGGAGCUAAUACCGGAUACGAAUCGAGUUGGCAUCUACUCGAUUGGAAAGUUUUUCGGUCUGGGAUGGGCCCGCGGCCUAUCAGCUUGUUGGUGGGGUAAUGGCCUACCAAGGCGACGACGGGUA
rnacentral:rRNA from 1 species